rnacentral:tRNA from 1 species
UGGGUAGCUCAGUGGUAGAGCAUGUGCUUUGCAUGUGUGAGGCCCUGGGUUCCACCCCCAGCAGCAA